rnacentral:tRNA from 1 species
UCCCUGGUGGUCGAGUGGAUAAGACUCCACACUCCGAAUGCAUGGGGCCCGGGUUCAAUCCCUGGUCAGGGAA